AGUGAACGCUGGCGGUAGGCCUAACACAUGCAAGUCGAACGGCAGCACAGUAAGAGCUUGCUCUUACGGGUGGCGAGUGGCGGACGGGUGAGGAAUACAUCGGAAUCUACUUUUUCGUGGGGGAUAACGUAGGGAAACUUACGCUAAUACCUCAUACGACCUACGGGUGAAAGCAGGGGAUCUUCGGACCUUGCGCGAUUGAAUGAGCCGAUGUCGGAUUAGCUAGUUGGCGGGGUAAAGGCCCACCAAGGCAACGAUCCGUAGCUGGUCUGAGAGGAUGAUCAGCCACACUGGAACUGAGACACGGUCCAGACUCCUACGGGAGGCAGCAGUGGGGAAUAUUGGACAAUGGGCGCAAGCCUGAUCCAGCCAUACCGCGUGGGUGAAGAAGGCCUUCGGGUUGUAAAGCCCUUUUGUUGGGAAAGAAAAGCAGCAGGUUAAUACCCCGAUGUUCUGACGGUACCCAAAGAAUAAGCACCGGCUAACUUCGUG
rnacentral:rRNA from 1 species